UUAGGUGCUGUUGUAGGAGCAAGGGAUACAAUGAUGAUCAAGGCAGAUGCAGCCGUUACCUUCAGGUUGUGGAGUCCGGAUACAGACUGGAGGCAGGCAGCUGUAAGAUGUGUGAGAAAUGCUGCGCUGGAUCAGCCCAUGGUAUAGGAGAGCAGGCUUCGGUAGAUUGCAAAUGACCUGCUUUCUUUCGGAUCCCGGGCUGCUUUCGGACACCUGUCGAAUAGUAAAUCCCAAGUAAGGUACCUGCGGUCGUCGGCAGAUCUGAAUUUUCUUCUUGGACACCUAAUACCCACAGCCCUCCAGAGACCGAGAGGUUGAUGUCACUCCCAAUAUCGGAGGAAGUAUACACCCCCGUGUGAGAUGGUCCUUAAUAAUAUUCCACGGCGGAGGGGGUGAUAUGACUACAUACAUGGCAGAAAGUGGAAACCUCCCAGGGAUAUUGUUCCCACGAUCCUGGAGGGAAGAAGAUGAUGUUACUUUCAAUAUGACAGAAGGUGGAUGAAGUGGUGGACUGCCCCUCCACACCUGUGGACACGCCCCCACUGAUAUUCCUUCUAAUUGCAGCGUGGGAGAGGAGGAUAUGACACGCGAUAUCGCAGGGAGUAGAAACACCCCUGUGAUACUGUUCUUAAUAUUCAGGGAGGAAGAGGAUGAUAUUACUCCCAAUACAGACGGGUGUACACCCUCUGUACACCGAGGGUGUACACCUGUCUGUGAAAGAGUUCUUAAUCUCCAGAGGGGGAGAUGAUAUUACUCACAAUAUGGUAAAGAGGCUGUGAGUCCACGGAGGAUCCUCAGAGCCAGCGGGGGAAGAGGGGCUGGCUCUCAGUCCCCGCCUCGCGGGGGUGACUCCCCCCAGUGCGAUGGGGGUCCUAAGAGCCAGUGGGGGAAGAGGGGCUGGCUCUGAGACCCCGCCUCGCGGGGGGUGCCUCCCCGCCCUGUGAUGGGGGUCCCAAGAGCCAGAAGGCUUAGAGGGGCUGGCUCUCAGUCCCCGCCUCGCGGGGGGUGCCUCCUCCCCCUGCGAUGGGGGUCGUAAGAGCCACUGGGGGAAUAGGGGCUUGCUCUCAGUCACCGCCUCGCGGGGGGUGCCUCCUUUCCUUUCUACAUAGACACAGUGACAGUCUGAUCUCUCUUUCUUUUCCCUACAGAUGGACACGCCCCCACUGAUAUUGUUUUUAAUGCAGCGUGGGAGGGGAGGAUAUGACACGCGAUAUCGCAGCUGAGUGCCACGUGCUGACGUCACUAAGAUCAAUACAGCAAACUCUGAAAGAUGGACAGAGAGACAGGAGAUGGUCCUUUAUAAUGCAGUGUGAUCUGUGCUGCAAUAGAGUUUUGGAAGCUAGAAGUUCAAAACGAGGUGUUGGCAGCACCAUGCUCUCUCUGAAGAUGCUAGGAAGAAUCUGCUCCAUGCCUUUCCAUUCGCUCCUGGGGUUUCCUGCAAGCCCUGACAUUCCUUGGCUUGUAGAUGCAUCACCCCAGUUUCCGCCCCCAUCAUCACAUGGCCUCCUCUCUGUGUGUGCCUCUGCGUUCCCUCUAUUCUUCUUCUAAGGACACCGACACCAGUCAUAGUGGAUUAAGGGUCCACUCCUAACCAAUUACAUCUGCAACAACCCUAUUUCCAAAUAAAGUCACAUUCUAAG
rnacentral:lncRNA from 10 species